GACGAACGCUGGCGGCGUGCUUAACACAUGCGAGUCGAACGGAAAGGCCCUGCUCUUGUGGGGUUCUCGAGUGGCGAACGGGUGAGUAACACGUGAGUAACCUGCCCUUGACUUUGGGAUAACUUCAGGAAACUGGGUCUAAUACCGGAUAGGAGCUCCUGCUGCAUGGUGGGGGAUGGAAAGUUUCGGCGGUUUGGGUUGGACUCGCGGCUUAUGAGCUUGUUGGUGGGGUAGUGGCUCACCAAGGCUUUGACGGGUAGCCGGCCUGGAAGGGUGACCGGCUCCAUAGGGCUAGGGGUGCGACCAGGACUCAUUCGGCCGGCAGGAGCGGAAACUUUUCCGAACAGGGCGGAGGCCUGGUGGAGGAACGCCGGAUGCGAAAUGACGGCCUUUGGGUUGGAACACGCUUUCGCGUGUCACGACGCGUGGGUGCGGGUACUGGGUAGAGAGGCACGGCUAACUACGUG
rnacentral:rRNA from 1 species